rnacentral:piRNA from 1 species
UGGUGGGAGCCUCCUCCGUUGUCUCUGC